GCAGAUGAAAUGGUUUAUGUCGCGUAAUAUUCGUAUUUUGCUGCAGUUUUAUUUAAAUAACUUUUAAACAAGGCCAUAAAGCAAACUCUCUGCUGAAGUGGAAGCUUCCAAAAAAUUGCUUUACGAUCCGAUCGCAGACAUGACGCAACAGAUCAGAUGUUUGAUGCGCUCAGCGCGCUCGAACCUACUCGACUAUAAUUUCGUGUAACUUUUUCAUCUUUUGUCGGAUCGACUUAAAACUUUACAAAAACAUGUUUAAGACAUCAUACUUUCAAAAUAUGUAUUUAAAAAAAAUCUUUUUGACCUC